GACGUAGGGGGCGAGCGUUGUCCGGAUUUACUGGGCGUAAAGCGCGCGCAGGCGGCCCGUUAAGUCGGAUGUGAAAACCUGGGGCUCAACCCCAGGCCUGCACCCGAUACUGGCGGGCUCGAGGCAGGUAGGGGAGAGUGGAAUUCCCGGUGUAGAGGUGAAAUUCGUAGAUAUCGGGAGGAACACCAGUGGCGAAGGCGGCGACCUGGGCCAAUAUUGACGCUGAGGUGGCGAAAAGCG
rnacentral:rRNA from 1 species